rnacentral:lncRNA from 1 species
AGCUGUUCUUUUACUCAUUCUUUGUUUGUAAAGAUUACCCCCCCCCCCCCCCAAAAAAAAAAACAAAAAAAAACAAUGGCCGUCUUUCCCCUCAGAGCUCUUCAGCUCUUUGAUUAUGAUCUAUGUAGUAGCAUGUUUGCGUGUCUGUGUGUUUGUUUGUUUGUUCAUCCAUUCAUUCAUUCUUUCGCCCCAUAUGUCACAUUUCAGGUAAAAGUUUUUGGUCAAGAC